CAGCUGCAAGGCGCUCUGCUUCUGGCUCUGAGCUUUGCCUGUCUUCAGGGAUGAGGCCCCUCCCAAGGCAAGUUCAACUGGGUUCUUUGGCAGCCGAAGUCUACAUGGACCCUGCAGGGAGCGGUGGAGAAAAAGGUUUGGAUCCCGGGAAUCUUCAGACGAGUACAAAAGGCUCUUGCCAAGGCACCAAUUUAACAAUUUGAUCCUAGAGGCUACCUGCAUUCCUUGGCAUUUAUCCCCUGUCUUCCAUCUUCAGAGCCAGCAACAGUAUAUUGAUCAUGAGGAGAGGGUUCGCCCCUCACGGGAGAAGUAGUUAGGAAGGCAAUAUAUGGAAACAAAGCCAUGAAUCUGACAUGAAAUGUGCUUAAGAUUGUAUACGUGGAGAUGAAUAUCCAUUGUCCUUUGCACUUUCUGGAUGAUAAAUUAGAAAGAAAGAAUCCAAAGAAUGAAGUUGUGCUAUUUGUCUUCAUUUCUGAUCUGGGAAACUAGAGGAAAUUAAGAUGAGAAAAGACCAUGUGAGGACACAGUGAGAAGGAGGCCAUAUGCAAAGCAGGAAGGAAGAUCUCACCAGAACAAAAACCAGCCCUGCUGGCACCCUCAUCUUGGACUUCUAGCCUUGCUCAGAGCUGUGAGAAAAUAAAUUUCUGGUGUUUCAACCA